AUCCACUGAUAGACCUUAGACAAUUUGCUGUUGUUCUUUUGGUUUACACUAAGAU
ensembl:snoRNA